rnacentral:rRNA from 1 species
GAUGAACGCUGGCGGCGUGCCUAAUACAUGCAAGUCGAGCGAACGGACGCGAAGCUUGCUUUUCUGAUGUUAGCGGCGGACGGGUGAGUAACACGUGGAUAACCUACCUAUAAGACUGGGAUAACUUCGGGAAACCGGAGCUAAUACCGGAUAAUAUUUUGAACCGCAUGGUUCAAAAGUGAAAGACGGUCUUGCUGUCACUUAUAGAUGGAUCCGCGCUGCAUUAGCUAGUUGGUAAGGUAACGGCUCACCAAGGCAACGAUGCAUAGCCGACCUGAGAGGGUGAUCGGCCACACUGGAACUGAGACACGGUCCAGACUCCUACGGGAGGCAGCAGUGGGGAAUCUUCCGCAAUGGGCGAAAGCCUGACGGAGCAACGCCGCGUGAGUGAUGAAGGUCUUCGGAUCGUAAAGCUCUGUUAUUAGGGAAGAACAUAUGUGUAAGUAACUGUGCACAUCUUGACGGUACCUAAUCAGAAAGCCACGGCUAACUACGUG